CGACAGCAGGGACCCUCUACCCAAGAGUGACAGCCGCCUUGACCACCAGAGAUGAGGCUCAACACCAACCUUUAAAGUUUAAUGGUUCUAUUAAAAUGCUUUCAUAAGCAUUAAUACAUACUCAUACAUUUUGCAGUGAUAUUUUAAAGAAAAGAUUUCACAAAUUCAGUUUAUAAAUCCAACUUUCAACAAGUCUGAGAAAGAAAGAACUCUCCAGCAUGGAAACCUGGCCAUCAUUUGCUGUGAACACUCGUGUGCCUGAAAGCACUCGAUAUAGAACGGCCCUGAGUGAGCAUACUCGGGCAUACAUCUGUGCUGCAUCAUAUCUACUGGACAGACACACCAGGCAGAGGCUACAACAAAAGAAUUCGCCCAGGAACAUAGGUCAUCAUGAUCUUGUGUUUAAAGCAAAGUACACAGCAGUUCUGUACAUUCCAGUUCUGCAGUGGUUUACAGCAUCCUCCCACCAUAGUCUGGAGGAUGGGAGGAAGCAUCUCAAUCCUGCAACCUGGUUCUCUAGGGUGGGCUCAGACAAGGCACUGGGCAGGGAGCAGUAGAAAUUGGAGAACAAAUUGGGAGUGGAAUGGGAAAUGAGGGGCAUGAAAACGGGCUUGGUAAGGCAGGAAGGCAAGGCCUGUGAAGACUUGGGGACCAUUUGGCACCAACUCCAAGAAGCACUCACCCCUGGCCAGAGGAGUUGGAGUUCCACACUCUUGGUCUGCAUGGGCUUCCAGCUCCCACCUGCCAUCUGUGAUGGGAGUCUCUUCAUUCUGUUCCUCCUGGCUCUCUAAAGAAUGAACUCCAGGUUCAAACACUGACAAAAUAAUGAAGAGCACAAAUACAUAAUCACAAAUCAAGAUAAGUAUGAAAUGAAAGAGUGAAGCAUACAACAACAACAAUCAUGGGUAUAUGAUUUGAGAAUGAGGGCUGGAGUUGAGAAUGGGAAGGAGAGGUAGAAGUGAAACCAGAGUCAGGGAAAGGAGUUUCUGGGCAGGGGAAACCCCCGUCCCUCCUGGGCAGUCAGAAUGGCCCUGGGCUUGGUUAUGUGCACUCCAGGGAUGGAGACUGCUGGCCUCUUCCCUUUUCUCCACCUCCUUCCUCCAUUCCCAGCCAAGGGACUGGAAGCAGAAGCUCUGGUCUGCACGCCUUCACCACUGCUGGCGUGACUGGCACCAAGGAAAGGACGACAUCCUGAGUGUCAGUCUCCAGAUUUCUCUCUUGUACCAAGGGCUAUACAGCACCCAAGAGUGGGUUCUGCCAUUGUGGAUGCUUCCAGCACCAUUUAUUAUUAUCGUAAGAAGUUUCUGGAAGCUUCUGGUCUCAGUAUUUCACAGGGCCGAGGAGUAAACUUGAUUGUGGGCCCUUGUUUCAUGAGAGGUUCUCAUGGGACGAUGUGGUCUUGAGCUCUCUGGGAGUCGGGGAAGAGAUAAGCCCAAAUGACAAGCAUAUGCAUAAUGAGCAUGAGCGAGUGGAUGCCUUAAACACUCAACACUCCUUUCCCUUUUGUGUUUCUGAGUACAAAAUCUUCACUCCCGUUUACUCAAGCACCCGUAAGACUUGGAGGACAUUUGGAUAUUAGAAAGAGAAAGCAAGGUAAUACUUGGCCUCUAAAAUGAAAACAGACAGUUUUUAUGAGUGCAGAAUUCCAGAUUCCAUGGAGCCUACUCUCCUUUCAGGUAGUAAAAAAUAAGCUCAGGGAUUCACUGUGGUGUGGAGGACAUAUUCCAUCUAGGCCAACUGAAUAUAGAAAGAUGAGAAUUCAGAGAAAGAAAAGAAGUGCUUAACACUGCGUAGAUCUAGGAAAUCUGUGGGAAAGAGUAAAGAGAAAAACGAGAAUGCAAAGCAGAUAGUCACCUUCUGAUUUCCUCCCUGAGAACAUUCCAGAAAGGUAUCAAACACUGGCAGAGGACAAGAGUUCUGCCUGCUCCACAUUCAGGCCUCUGGAGAGGGGUCCUCUGAAGAAUCCCCAGCCACUGGCGAGACUGCGAC
ensembl:lncRNA